CAAACAUAACUACAAAUUAUAAACAGUGAACGAGUGCGUAAUGCGCAGUUCUUGUGUUUUGAAGUGAGUUGCUGAAAAUUAAUUUAUGAAACACCAACGACGAGUAAGAUGACAGUUUGAGAAAGAAAUCCUUCAGGACCAUUCCUCAAAGGAUGCAGCUUCAGUGUGGCGGCGUUGUGGACAUAAAAAUUUUUACUAAUGCUUCAGCAUUAUUUUUCUAGCUUCAUUUAAGAAAGCACCUUGUACAAAGUGAAUGUUCUCUCAUUUUAGAUUUUAAUUAAAAAAAUAACCGGCCGGUUAUUGGGGGGACUUCCUAAUAAAUCGACUGAUCGUCCACGGGGUCCUAACGGACUUAAAAUUUUGUUGUUCUUUAUCUUUAAAUCUCCUUGUUCAAUUGACUAUUGUUUUUGUUUUGAAUAUCUGGACCGAUUACACUUUAAUCGUAUUUUAUGUUUAAUUUUUUGUUUUGUUUUUGUUAAAUAAAAUAUUUUUCUACCGUUUACUACUGUUAUUUUCAAGAAAAAAAUCUAAAAUAUGUGUAGUUUUGCCAAAUCAGCAAACCAAAUAAAUUGUUCGAAUUUGAAGUUGGUGGUCUUGGAACCAUUGCUGGACAAUUCUUGCGGUGUGAAUGCUGCUAUUGUCUUGCACAAAAAUCGGCGGUUCAUCCCGAAACAAAUUUUCAGUUUUGGGGAGAAGAUGGUUUUCAUUCCGAGGAGGCAUGAGCCUAACUAUAGCACCUGGUCCUGCUGAAUGUAUCUAUCCCCAAAAUCCUGCACAAAUCCUUCCACUCCGCUUCACUGGAUCACAUUAUCUUUAUAUCUUUCGUUGUUUCUUCGCCAUAAAAUAACUGGUGCAUCUUGCGAGGUUUGAAACGUUGUUUCGUUCCAGUUAAAAUUUAGAUGUUUC